AUAUGUUAAGAAGAUCGAUUUUAUUAGAAAAGAUCUGUUUGCGUUGUUAAUUUUGAGAGUGCAUUGCUGAGCUUUUAUUUUGAAACUGUAGAAUACAGGAAGUAGGAAGCGGUGAGCAAAACGGUAAAAAAAAAAAAAAAAAAACGAAAAAACAAAACAAGCAUGUCAACGGUGGAAAGACGUAGCAAGUUGAAAUCAGCUUAUUCCUGUGCAUGAAUCCGUCAGAAAGCAAUGGCUUUUCACUCCAUUUUCAUUGUGUCACCCGACUUGACUUGUUAAGAAGUCAUUAAAGGAGCAAGCACGCUCACUUCCUGGCUCUUGAAAAGGAGUUUGGCUGACUGUUUAUUCGUGUUAGCACUUUGAAAGUAAAACACAUGAAGAGAACAGUACAAGGAAUCUCACGUGGACUUUGGAACCCCGGAGAGAACGAAAUGACUUCCCACGUGACGCACUUGUCGUCACAUCACCUUUGGAGUGUUCACCGUCGUCAGAAGAGUGUGACGUUGCGUCGUCACUCUCAGAUUGCGGACCG